AAUCAUGCGCAGAGUGUAAAGGCACAAGCGAGCUUGACUGCGAGACAGACAGGUCGAGCAGGGACGAAAGUCGGGCUUAGUGAUCCGGUGGUUCCGUAUGGAAGGGCCAUCGCUCAACGGAUAAAAGCUACCCUGGGGAUAACAGGCUUAUCUCCCCCAAGAGUCCACAUCGACGGGGAGGUUUGGCACCUCGAUGUCGGCUCAUCGCAUCCUGGGGCUGUAGUCGGUCCCAAGGGUUGGGCUGUUCGCCCAUUAAAGCGGUACGCGAGCUGGGUUCAGAACGUCGUGAGACAGUUCGGUCCCUAUCCGUCGCGGGCGUAGGAAAUUUGAGAGGACCUGUCCUUAGUACGAGAGGACCGGGAUGGACAUACCGCUGGUGUACCAGUUGUUCCGCCAGGAGCACYGCUGGGUAGCUAUGUAUGGACGAGAUAAACGCUGAAAGCAUCUAAGUGUGAAACUCGCCUCGAGAUGAGAUUUCCCAUUUCCUUCGGGAAAGUAAGACCCCUCAGAGAUGAUGAGGUAGAUAGGAUGGAAGUGGAAGUGCCGUGAGGCAUGGAGCGGACCAUUACUAAUCGGUCGAGGACUUAACCAAG
rnacentral:rRNA from 2 species